AAGGUUUCCGUAGGUGAACCUGCGGAAGGAUCAUUAGUGAACAAACCGGUGUGGCUAAGUUGCUGGCCUCCUUGGAGGCAUGUGCACGGCCCGCCAUUGUUUCAUCCUUCUUCCACCUGUGCACUCCUGUAGGUCCACUCUGGUGCAUCCGUGCAUUGGAUUUUGGCGCCUACGUUAUACCAUCCACACCAUUGAAGUUCAGAAUGUAUGUAUUGGGCACUAGUUGCCUAUAAAACCUUAUACAACUUUCAACAACGGAUCUCUUGGCUCUCGCAUCGAUGAAGAACGCAGCGAAAUGCGAUAAGUAAUGUGAAUUGCAGAAUUCAGUGAAUCAUCGAAUCUUUGAACGCACCUUGCGCUCCUUGGCAUUCCGAGGAGCAUGCCUGUUUGAGUGUCAUUAAAUCAUCAACCACCUCACCUUCUGAUGAGGGGGUUGGACUUGGAGGUUUUGCUGGCCCCUCUUUGAGGGGACCGGCUCCUCUGAAAUGCAUUAGCAGGGGCUCAUCUUGUGCGAUCUGCGGCCUUGUGUGAUAAUAUCUACACCUGGCUUGGUCGUGCGUAUACCCAGCUUCCAGCCGUCCAUACUGUUGGACAAAUUCACCUGACCACUUGACCUCAAAUCAGGUAGGACUACCC
rnacentral:rRNA from 1 species